AUUGAACGCUGGCGGCAGGCUUAACACAUGCAAGUCGAACGGUAACAUAAAGGAGCUUGCUUCUUUGAUGACGAGUGGCGGCCGGGUGAGUAAUGCUUGGGAAUCUAGCUUAUGGAGGGGGAUAACUACGGGAAACUGUAGCUAAUACCGCGUAGAAUCGGGAGAUGAAAGUGUGGGACCUUCGGGCCACAUGCCAUAGGAUGAGCCCAAGUGGGAUUAGGUAGUUGGUGAGGUAAAGGCUCACCAAGCCGACGAUCUCUAGCUGGUCUGAGAGGAUGACCAGCCACACUGGGACUGAGACACGGCCCAGACUCCUACGGGAGGCAGCAGUGGGGAAUAUUGCGCAAUGGGGGCAACCCUGACGCAGCCAUGCCGCGUGAAUGAAGAAGGCCUUCGGGUUGUAAAGUUCUUUCGGUAGCGAGGAAGGCAUUUAGUUUAAUAGACUAGGUGAUUGACGUUAACUACAGAAGAAGCACCGGCUAACUCCGUG
rnacentral:rRNA from 1 species